rnacentral:tRNA from 1 species
CAGAGGAUAGUUUAAUUAAAAUAUUAAUUUUGGAGAUUAAUGAUAAGAGAAUUCUUUCUUCUGA